UUCCAGAUGGUUCUCUACCUCACUUUCCCCGUGGCCAUGUUCUGGGUUGCCAAUCAGGGCCGAUUGGUGUUGAGCACAACGUCAUACAGCGCAAGAGGGAGCUGUGGCCUCCUGAGACAGAAGAGCAGCGCCGAGAGGUGGAAGAAUUCAAGGAUCGGUUUAAGGAAACAGCGGGAAGAGAAGCUACUUCGGGCUGUCCAGCACAGCUCCUGAAGCGGCCAAAGUCUGGAGCCCUGCCCGCAUGAAAUAGCUGCAUGAAAUAACACACAAGCACGCGUGAAAUAAUAUACGUUCCACAC